rnacentral:rRNA from 1 species
UACGUAGGGGGCAAGCGUUGUCCGGAUUUAUUGGGCGUAAAGAGCGUGUAGGCGGUUUGGUAGGUCCGCUGUGAAAACUCGAGGCUCAACCUCGAGACGCCGGUGGAAACCAUCAGGCUAGAGUCCGGAAGAGGAGAGUGGAAUUCCUGGUGUAGCGGUGAAAUGCGCAGAUAUCAGGAAGAACACCCGUGGCUAAGGCGGCUCUCUAGUACGGUACU